ACACACGGAGGCAGGGCUCAGGAUUGGGGGGAGGAAUCAUGCGCAGGGGGCGGGGCCCGAGAGAGAGCCUGGAGGAGACCGGAAGUCCCUCCGCCUCCGCCCGCCCUCGUGCUCCCUUCAGCCCCUUCGCAGCUCUGUGCGCAAGGUCGUGUCCCGGAAGUGAAGGGGCCAUGUUGAUGGGUGACCCGGAGAGAGGUACCCGGCCGGAGGGGAGUCCUGCGGAGUGGUAGCGCGCCCGGCCUGCGGUGUGACACCCAGCCCCUGCCAGUCCCCCAUGGCCCCGUGGAGCCGAGAGGCGGUGCUGAGUCUCUAUCGGGCUCUGCUGCGCCAGGGCCGACAGCUUCGCUACACUGAUCGAGACUUCUACUUUGCCUCCAUCCGCCGUGAAUUCCGAAAACAUCAGAAGCUAGAGGACCCUGAGGCCCGGGAGAGGCAGCUGGA